UCCCCCGCUUUUCCUCCCUGAGCGGGUGCCUUAAUGUGUGACAGCAAAAAGGCUUCUGAGCCCCGGCAUGGCCGGGGCUUUUUUUU
rnacentral:ncRNA from 1 species